rnacentral:rRNA from 1 species
CCUACGGGAGGCAGCAGUGAGGAAUAUUGGUCAAUGGCCGGAAGGCUGAACCAGCCAUGCCGCGUGAAGGUCAGUGCCCUAUGGGCGUUAAACUUCUUUUGUGCGGGAGCAAUAAUGGUCACGUGUGGCCAGACGAGAGUACCGUACGAAUAAGCAUCGGCUAACUCCGUGCCAGCAGCCGCGGUAAUACGGGGGAUGCAAGCGUUAUCCGGGUUUAUUGGGUUUAAAGGGUGCGUAGGCUGGGAGGUAAGUCAGCGGGGAAAUGCCCCCGGUCAACGGGGUGAAGAGCCAUUGAUACUGCCUUGCUGGAAUGCGGAUGCCGUGGGAGGAAUGUGUGGUGUAGCGGUGAAAUGCAUAGAUAUCACACAGAACACCGAUUGCGAAGGCAUCUCACGGAUCCGCGAUUGACGCUGAUGCACGAAAGCGUGGGUAUCAAACAGGAUUAGAUACCCGUGUAGUC